UUCCAGACUCCUACGGGAGGCAGCAGUGAGGAAUAUUGGUCAAUGGGCGAGAGCCUGAACCAGCCAAGUCGCGUGAGGGAUGACUGCCCUAUGGGUUGUAAACCUCUUUUGUAUGGGGGGAAUAAGCUUUACGAGUAGAGUGAUGACAGUACCAUACGAAUAAGCAUCGGCUAACUCCGUGCCAGCAGCCGCGGUAAUACGGAGGAUGCGAGCGUUAUCCGGAUUUAUUGGGUUUAAAGGGUGCGCAGGCGGAGGUGCAAGUCAGCGGUCAAAUUGCGGGGCUCAACCCCGUACUGCCGUUGAAACUGCAUCCCUUGAGUGCGCGAGAAGUAUGCGGAAUGCGUGGUGUAGCGGUGAAAUGCAUAGAUAUCACGCAGAACUCCGAUUGCGAAGGCAGCAUACCGGCGCGCAACUGACGCUCAUGCACGAAAGCGUGGGUAUCGAACAGGAUUAGAUACCCUAGUA
rnacentral:rRNA from 1 species